CCUACGGAGUGCAGCAGUGGGGAAUAUUGGACAAUGGGCGAAAGCCUGAUCCAGCCAUGCCGCGUGUGUGAAGAAGGCCUUCGGGUUGUAAAGCACUUUCAGUGGGGAAGAAAGCCUUGGGGCUAAUACCCUCGAGGAAGGACAUCACCCACAGAAGAAGCACCGGCUAACUCCGUGCCAGCAGCCGCGGUAAUACGGAGGGUGCGAGCGUUAAUCGGAAUUACUGGGCGUAAAGCGCGCGUAGGCGGUCUGAUAAGCCGGUUGUGAAAGCCCCGGGCUCAACCUGGGAACGGCAUCCGGAACUGUCAGGCUAGAGUGCAGGAGAGGAAGGUAGAAUUCCCGGUGUAGCGGUGAAAUGCGUAGAGAUCGGGAGGAAUACCAGUGGCGAAGGCGGCCUUCUGGACUGACACUGACGCUGAGGUGCGAAAGCGUGGGUAGCAAACAGGAUUAGAUACCCCGGUCGUC
rnacentral:rRNA from 1 species